UAAAGACUUUGCUUGCUUGCUUCCUGCCUGUGUGUGUGGAGUUCAUUCUUCGAUUGCGUGAACACGAACCUGGAUUCUGCUAUCAUCUUUCUGGUAUCAUCUUUGGGGUCUCACCCGGGAUCCAAUCCAAUCCAUCUGCACUCACAAGGUAAGCGGCAACAAGCCUGCACUUUCUACUUCUUUUCAGUUUCAUUUGCCUCUGAAUCACAGGUGAAUGUGCGAAUGAGGGCGUGGCGGGCCAGAAAUGGAUGCGUUGUGAGGCACACUUUCCUUCCCAUUCCCUCUGCUCUGAAAUCUCCUCUUUCUCUGUACUAUCGCCUUUGUAAAAUAUCUGGAAAAUCACAGUUACUGUGUUUCUGAAGGUUAGCAAUUGUUAAAAAGCAUGUAAGAAACAAAAUGUUGUUUUUGUGAAUUUUAAAGGGUGAUAAAAGGGAGAAAAAUAACUUCCCGGGAGACAGGAGGCACUGUGAUAACCUCUGAGUGCGUGUGUGAGUGAAUGUGCAGCCUGUUUCUCUUGCGCUUCAGGUUCAAGUUUGUGGCUCCACGGCCUUCUCCACGGCCUUAGCGGCUACGGAGUCCAGAUGGAAGCCACUUCCUCGAGCCUGGUGCAUGGCUCAAUAGCAACUCCCCUGACCUGUGCCUUGAAGAACUGGAAAAAGUUUGACCCUGAAAAAGAAACGUUUAGUUUUCUUUUGCAUGAAAGCCUGGCCACUAUAUAACCUGUCAGAUGGAGAGCGAUGGCCAUCUGAAAGCUCUCUAGCUGAUAAUACUCUUCUCCAACGAGACCUAUUUGGUAGACGUGAAGGGGGAUGGUCAGAGGUGCCUUACGUUCGAUCUUCUUUACAAUGAGGGAAGACGCUACACUGAGGAAGGCUUAUGGACUUUCUCAGUGCGUUAUGCCAACUCCCUCAGGACCUAGGUGCCCACCAUAUCCUGGCUCAACUGGGUCAGACCCUCCAGAAGUGAAUCAGCCUUCUCCAACACUGCCCAAGGCGCCUCCUCUUCCCACUCCAGUGCCAAAGUUAUAUCCCUCUCUACUCCCUUUGCAAGAAGUAGCAAAUGGAGAAUGGGGACCAAUACGGGUCCAUGUGCCUUUUUCACUUCAGGACUUAAGGCAGAUAAAGACAGAUUUAGGGAAAUUUGCUGAUGACCCAGAUAGAUAUAUUGAGGUCUUUCAGGGUCUCACACAAUCCUUUGAGUUAGCCUGGAAGGACGUCAUGUUAUUACUAGAACAGACAUUGACUAUAAGUGAAAAAAAUAAAGUCUUAGAAAAUGCUCAAA